rnacentral:rRNA from 1 species
UACGGGGGGGGGCAAGCGUUGUUCGGAAUUACUGGGCGUAAAGGGCUUGUAGGCGGCCAACUAAGUCAAACGUGAAAUCCCUCGGCUUAACCGGGGAACUGCGCUUGAUACUGGAUGGCUUGAGAUUGGGAGAGGGAUGCGGAAUUCCAGGUGUAGCGGUGAAAUGCGUAGAUAUCUGGAGGAACACCGGUGGCGAAGGCGGCAUCCUGGACCAACACUGACGCUGAGGAGCGAAAGCCAGGGGAGCAAAGCGGG